GGCCCCGUGGUAUAAUGGCUUGCACGCUGGGGGUAUAUUUGAGAUAUAAUGCAAUCUAAAGUAUAUUAGAAGUCGCAGUUCGAAUCUGUCGGGGCCG